AUACUGCUAUUAGAAAGAUGUGUCAUUUGUGUUUUAAGAACGUUUAGCUCAGGAGUUAUUGAUCAGGUAAGUUCGAAUCUGUGAAUAUGUUGCCAACUUUACCGAACUUCGACGCAUAGUGCAAUAUUUUUAAUCAGUUUUUAUAUACAUAAUCGUAGGCGUCGUCUAAAAGCUCAAAAAUUCUUAAUUCAGAAACAGAUUCAUUAGGACCAGCGCUUAAAGUGGCCCAACCCCUCCGAGCGCGAUUUGAACGUUAGUAACUUUAUGUUCGUCGGCACUUUUUCCCUCUUCAAGCACUGGUUAUUACGCCUGUAUAAUGAAAUUCGCUUAACUAACAUCAAUUGGACUGCACGUUUUACUUUCAGAUAUAAUCACACUGAUGAUCUGAACUAUCGUAUGUACAGUCAGGCCUGGGUGUCUGCAUAGGCACGUGCCUAGUAUCCCUCCUCAUUAAAACCUUGUAUCUCCAUAUUAAGUCACUUUUUAAUAAAUUAUUUCUAUUGGUUACUUCAGCGAGAGAGAGGACCAGAUGUUCCAUGAAGUGGAUCAGACAACCUUGCCCUCUGAAGUAGACUGUGCCAAACUUCCAAGUACACCCUGCAUAAUUGUGUGUGGUAUGUUUGAAUAUUUUUAAAGGAAAACUAUUUAAUAUUUGCGGGAAUUUAAGUUUGUCACAGUGUUAC